UCCAUAUUCUUCUACUUUCUGGGUCUCCAAAUACCAAAAUUCGAUGCGUCCAACACGUUUAAGGAAUUUCAUCCCCAAAAUAAAUGCAAUUGAUGAACAGUAGCACGGUCUCAACUUCCUCGUAAUAGCCACCGAGGCUUGCUGCAACCUAUGCAGUUUAUAAAUAGGGUCGAGGUCUUGAUGUCACUUAUGCAUUGUAGCAGAAGCAAUAAAAGAAAGCAGUAACGACCCUUUUCAUGGCUUCCUUAAACACAGCUUACCUAUUGGCACUAUUACUCACUGCUUCUCUAUCUCUGCCCUUGGAGAUCACGGCAGCCCGUUUCCCAUCUCCAAAACUUGAGAUUCCUGCACCCCCUAAGAAACUAUCAACUCCAUCCCCAUCACCAUUACCCACCAUCUUUCCUCCACCUCAACCCCACCAAAAAUCUCGACCACCUCCAAAAUCUGACUAUGAAACUCCUCCUCCUCCUCCUCCACCGCCGCAUCGCUCUGGCUCAGAGACACCGGUAAAGAUGUACUAUUUGCCUCCUUUUCCAGCAACCUGAUAAGAUCCUGGAUGAAAGCACAGGGAUGCAAAUAUAUGAGCAUGUCGAUUAAUUAAUAAGCGUUCUUAUUAUACAAGCUAGAAUAAUGAAGGUGAAGGCGGUGGUUCUAUCUGCAAGUAUACUUGCAGGUGCUGACAUGCUGCUGUGAAAAAGUUACAAAAGCACAAGUUGCAAGGGAAGAAGAUCAGAGAAAUAAAGUACUAUGCUUAUUAUAUAGGCUUAUAGCUGUUGUGAACUAAGUUAAAAAAACACAUGGUACGAUUGCUUUUUUUUUGUUUUGUAACACAUGAUACGAUUGUUGUGUAAGCAGUGAAGAAGAGAAAUAAUAAAGAUAUGUUUUAUGCAUGUGCUC